rnacentral:rRNA from 1 species
CCCUUAGAUGUUCUGGGCCGCACGCGCGCUACACUGAUGCAUUCAACGAGUUUCUUCCUGGUCCGAGAGGAAUGGGUAACCUUUUGAAAGUGCAUCGUGAUAGGGAUAGACUAUUGCAAUUAUUGGUCUUCAACGAGGAAUUCCUAGUAGACGUGUUCAUCAGACUGCAUCGAUUACGUCCCUGCCCUUUGUACACACCGCCCGUCGCUCCUACCGAUUGAAUGCUCAGGUGAGCCAUUCGGACUUUCAUCAUGCUGGUUUCCAGUUUUGAUGAAGGAAAGUCUUGCGAACCUUAUCAUUUAGAGGAAGGAGAAGUCGUAACA